GGUCGUUUAGCUCAGGGGUUAGUAGCGUGGCCUUUACAACACUACGCGUGGUCGGCCAAGGUCGCAGGUUCGAUCCCUGCAACGAUCA
rfam:Drechmeria coniospora strain ARSEF 6962 chromosome 03, whole genome shotgun sequence.